UUGACUGUGCUAAGGUAGCAUAAUAAAUUGGCUUUUAAUUGAAGUCGGGAAUGAAAGGGUGUUUGGAAUUUUUCUGUCUUAUUUUUAUUUUUUAAAAAUUACUUAUGAGGUGAAAAUUCCUCAAUAUUAUUUGAUAGACGAGAAGACCCUAAGAAUUAUUACAACUAUUAAGUAAUUUUAUAAAAGUUUUUGUUGGGGCAACAGCUUUGAGUAACCAAAGCUAAAAUUUACUAUAAAAAGAUUAUUUUAAAAAUGGAUUUAAUUACCUUAGGGAUAACAGCAUAAUUAUAUUUUAGAUUGUGACCUCGAUGUUGGAUUAGGCCU
rnacentral:rRNA from 1 species